GCUUUAGUGGCGCAAUAGCGGCGCAAUGGACUUAAAAUCCAAAGGAUGGGGGUGCAAGUCCCUCCUAGAGUA
rnacentral:tRNA from 1 species